AUUGAUAGAUAAAGGUUUAUCACUGGAUAGAGAUCCCAAAUAAUACCAAUUCAUUAAGAAAUGUAUGUUUUAAUACCUCAAUUUUUUUGCUGUCUAGGAAUUCAAUGUUGUGCUAAUUGCUAUGGAAAUUCUUAAGACUUAUAGCACCAUUCCCAAUCUCAGAUACUUUCCAGACUAGUUGAGGAAAAGACAUGUAUACUGAUGAGAAGAUAUCCAGCAAAAUAAGAGCACUCCAAGAGAAGAAAUUCCCUUAUCAGUAGAGCCACUCGAUCCUGGGGCCUCUUUGGACCACUGACAGAUGGAAUUAUAGAGUUCAGAUUAAUCUGUAUUAUCUGGGAAUACUCAGGCUCUGUUGAAGAACUCUGGUCACUUCUAAACAACUUCACAGCUUUAAGGUAUGCUUCCAUUAAUGUAAGUUUCUCUUUGUCAAAACCUGUAUGCUUUAAGUGCUUUAAAGUCACAUUAUCAACAGGGAAAAAGCUCAGAAUAGCACCAUAUUAAGGACACAUGUUUGCAAUUGUGGUUUGAUCAGUCACAGAGAGUUGAGGAACUCCACUUCCAAAGAAUUUGACAAAUUUUCCAGCCACUCCUACUUGUCUGAGGU
rnacentral:lncRNA from 1 species